GGGUGCGAUCAUACCAGCACUAAUGCACCGGAUCCCAUCAGAACUCCGUAGUUAAGCAUGCUUGGUCAAGAAUAGUUCUAAGAUGGGCUUGUCUUAUGACUUUCAUAGAUGCAGGCU
rnacentral:rRNA from 1 species